rnacentral:rRNA from 1 species
GUGAACGCUGGCGGUAGGCCUAACACAUGCAAGUCGAACGGCAGCACAGUAAGAGCUUGCUCUUACGGGUGGCGAGUGGCGGACGGGUGAGGAAUGCAUCGGAAUCUACUUUUUCGUGGGGAAUAACGUAGGGAAACUUACGCUAAUACCGCAUACGACCUACGGGUGAAAGCAGGGGAUCUUCGGACCUUGCGCGAUUGAAUGAGCCGAUGUCGGAUUAGCUAGUUGGCGGGGUAAAGGCCCACCAAGGCGACGAUCCGUAGCUGGUCUGAGAGGAUGAUCAGCCACACUGGAACUGAGACACGGUCCAGACUCCUACGGGAGGCAGCAGUGGGGAAUAUUGGACAAUGGGCGCAAGCCUGAUCCAGCCAUACCGCGUGGGUGAAGAAGGCCUUCGGGUUGUAAAGCCCUUUUGUUGGGAAAGAAAAGCAGCAGGUUAAUACCCCGCUGUUCUGACGGUACCCAAAGAAUAAGCACCGGCUAACUUCGUG